rnacentral:rRNA from 1 species
CAGCCGCCGCGGGAAUACGUAGGUGGCAAGCGUUGUCCGGAAUUAUUGGGCGUAAAGCGCGCGCAGGCGGAUCGGUCAGUCUGUCUUAAAAGUUCGGGGCUUAACCCCGUGAUGGGAUGGAAACUGCCAAUCUAGAGUAUCGGAGAGGAAAGUGGAAUUCCUAGUGUAGCGGUGAAAUGCGUAGAUAUUAGGAAGAACACCAGUGGCGAAGGAGACUUUCUGGACGAAAACUGACGCUGAGGCGCGAAAGCCAGGGGAGCGAACGGGAUUAGAUACCCCAGUAGUCCCUGUCUCUUAUACA